rnacentral:rRNA from 1 species
CCCAGACUCCUACGGGAGGCAGCAGUGAGGAAUAUUGGUCAAUGGGCUUACGCCUGAACCAGCCAAGUCGCGUGAGGGAAGACUGCCCUAUGGGUUGUAAACCUCUUUUGUCAGGGAGCAAUUGGCGCUACGUGUAGCGUUAUCGAGAGUACCUGAAGAAAAAGCAUCGGCUAACUCCGUGCCAGCAGCCGCGGUAAUACGGAGGAUGCGAGCGUUAUCCGGAUUUAUUGGGUUUAAAGGGUGCGUAGGCGGACUCCCACGUCUGGGGAAACCUCGGGGGGCCCACCCCCGGCCCGCCGUUGAAACUGGCAGUCUCGAGUUGGAGAGAAGUAUGCGGAAUGCGCGGUGUAGCGGUGAAAUGCAUAGAUAUCGCGCAGAACUCCGAUUGCGAAGGCAGCAUGCCGGCUCCACACUGACGCUGAGGCACGAAAGCGUGGGUAUCGAACAGGAUUAGAUACCCGAGUA